rnacentral:sRNA from 1 species
AUGUGCCGCUCGUAAAUUGCGGUUCUGAGCGCGCCGUCCGCGCCCACCUCACGGCCGCUCGCUACGUUUUGUCAGCC